rnacentral:rRNA from 1 species
AUUGAACGCUGGCGGCAUGCCUUACACAUGCAAGUCGAACGGCAGCACGGACUUCGGUCUGGUGGCGAGUGGCGAACGGGUGAGUAAUGUAUCGGAACGUACCUUUCAGUGGGGGAUAACGUAGCGAAAGUUACGCUAAUACCGCAUAUUCUGUGAGCAGGAAAGCAGGGGAUCGCAAGACCUUGCGCUGAUUGAGCGGCCGAUAUCAGAUUAGCUAGUUGGUGGGGUAAAGGCCUACCAAGGCGACGAUCUGUAGCGGGUCUGAGAGGACGAUCCCCCACACUGGUACUGAGACACGGACCAGACUCCUACGGGAGGCAGCAGUGAGGAAUAUUGGUCAAUGGGCGGAAGCCUGAACCAGCCAUGCCGCGUGCAGGAUGACGGCCCUACGGGUUGUAAACUGCUUUUCCCGGGGCGAAUAACCCCCUCGCGAGGGGGAGUGCCGGGUACCGGGGAACGUAAGGAGUCGGCUAACGUCCGUCG